rnacentral:rRNA from 1 species
CUUUGGGAUAACCCUCGGAAACGGGGGCUAAUACCGGAUAGGACAUUGCCGGGCAUCUGGUGGUGUGGAAAGUUUUUCGGAUGGGGAUGGGCUCGCGGCCUAUCAGCUUGUUGGUGGGGUGAUGGCCUACCAAGGCGACGACGGGUAGCCGGCCUGAGAGGGCGACCGGCCACACUGGGACUGAGACACGGCCCAGACUCCUACGGGAGGCAGCAGUGGGGAAUAUUGCGCAAUGGGCGAAAGCCUGACGCAGCGACGCCGCGUGAGGGAUGACGGCCUUCGGGUUGUAAACCUCUUUCAGCAGGGACGAAGCGAUAGUGACGGUACCUGCAGAAGAAGCACCGGCCAACUACGUGCCAGCAGCCGCGGUAAGACGUAGGGUGCGAGCGUUGUCCGGAUUUAUUGGGCGUAAAGAGCUCGUAGGCGGCUCGUCGCGUCGGCCGUGAAAACUUCAGGCUUAACCUGGGGCUUGCGGUCGAUACGGGCGGGCUAGAGUUCGGUAGGGGAGACUGGAAUUCCUGGUGUAGCGGUGAAAUGCGCAGAUAUCAGGAGGAACACCGGUGGCGAAGGCGGGUCUCUGGGCCGAUACUGACGCUGAGGAGCGAAAGCGUGGGGAGCGAACAGGAUUAGAUACCCUGGUAGUCCACGCUGUAAACGUUGGGCGC